rnacentral:tRNA from 1 species
GCGAGAGUGGCGGAACUGGCAGACGCACUGGACUUAGGAUCCAGCACCGCAAGGUGUAGGGGUUCAAAUCCCCUCUCUCGCACCA